rnacentral:rRNA from 1 species
CAUCGGAACGUGCCAUUGAGUGGGGGAUAACGUUGCGAAAGUUGCGCUAAUACCGCAUAUUCUGUGAGCAGGAAAGCAGGGGACCGCAAGGCCUUGCGCUCUUUGAGCGGCCGAUGUCAGAUUAGCUAGUUGGUGAGGUAAAGGCUUACCAAGGCGACGAUCUGUAGCGGGUCUGAGAGGAUGAUCCGCCACACUGGAACUGAGACACGGUCCAGACUCCUACGGGAGGCAGCAGUGGGGAAUUUUGGACAAUGGGGGCAACCCUGAUCCAGCCAUGCCGCGUGAGUGAAGAAGGCCUUCGGGUUGUAAAGCUCUUUCGGCCGGGAAGAAAUCGCAUGGGCCAAUACCCUGUGUGGAUGACGGUACCGGAAUAAGAAGCACCGGCUAACUACGUGCCAGCAGCCGCGGUAAUACGUAGGGUGCGAGCGUUAAUCGGAAUUACUGGGCGUAAAGCGUGCGCAGGCGGUUUUGUAAGACAGGCGUGAAAUCCCCGGGCUUAACCUGGGAACUGCGUUUGUGACUGCAAGGCUAGAGUACGGCAGAGGGGGGUGGAAUUCCACGUGUAGCAGUGAAAUGCGUAGAGAUGUGGAGGAACACCAAUGGCGAAGGCAGCCCCCUGGGUCGAUACUGACGCUCAUGCACGAAAGCGUGGGUAGCAAACAGGAUUAGAUACCCUGGUAGUCCACGCCCUAAACUAUGUCAACUAGGUGUUGGGUGGGUAAAACCAUUUAGUACCGUAGCUAACGCGUGAAGUUGACCGCCUGGGGAGUACGGCCGCAAGGUUAAAACUCAAAGGAAUUGACGGGGACCCGCACAAGCGGUGGAUGAUGUGGAUUAAUUCGAUGCAACGCGAAAAACCUUACCUACCCUUGACAUGCCAGGAACUUGCCAGAGAUGGCUUGGUGCCCGAAAGGGAGCCUGGACACAGGUGCUGCAUGGCUGUCGUCAGCUCGUGUCGUGAGAUGUUGGGUUAAGUCCCGCAACGAGCGCAACCCUUGUCGUUAAUUGCCAUCAUUUAGUUGGGCACUUUAACGAGACUGCCGGUGACAAACCGGAGGAAGGUGGGGAUGACGUCAAGUCCUCAUGGCCCUUAUGGGUAGGGCUUCACACGUCAUACAAUGGUCGGUACAAAGGGUUGCCAAGCCGCGAGGCGGAGCCAAUCCCAGAAAGCCGAUCGUAGUCCGGAUUGCAGGCUGCAACUCGCCUGCAUGAAGUCGGAAUCGCUAGUAAUCGUGGAUCAGCAUGUCACGGUGAAUACGUUCCCGGGUCUUGUACACACCGCCCGUCACACCAUGGGAGCGGGUUCCGCCAGAAGUAGGUAGCCUAACCGCAAGGGGGGCGCUUACCA